CACUUACUUCUUUAUUGGGUGCAGGAGUACCAGGGUGCAUGCGUGGAAGUCAGAGGACAACCUGCCGAAGUCAGUUCUCUUCCUUCUAUCUUGUAGGUUCAGGGGAUUGAACUAAAGUCGGUCAGCUUGUCAGCAAGCACCUUGACUGGCUGAGCCAUCUCACCAGCCCCUAGAUGAGAUGCAGUACUCAUGGAUUUUCAAAUACCUAGCCUGGAGGAGCAGAGCCGGCUUGCUGACUUAUGCAUGUCCUCGCAGGUGGCCCACGAUGGCCAUGCCUUCCUCUCUGCUUCUCUAACCUCCUUUUCCCACAGGUGAGCUGCAUCAGCCCCACCCCACCCCCAAAGUGACUUCCCGGUCUUGGGAGAGGGGAACCCAGCAGUUUCCCACAAGACCGGGGUGCAAGUUGAGAAGGGUCUAUGGAGAUGCCCCUGUUCAGCCAAGGCCUGAAGUGGGCUUUGGAACCAAGGGACUUCUCGCACAGAGGCACUUGGCGGCCAGGAGGGAAAGUUUCCUGCAGGGUAAACCUUCUUCUCAGCCCUGGCUCCAAGACAGCAGGAGCUGAUCUGCUCACAGAGACCUGCCUUUCCUCUCUAAGUGGGGCAGAGGAGAGGAAGCCAGCUGACUGCUGGCUAAAAAAGAAAGAUGAACUCAGUCUGAACUUGAGCCAGGCCCCGGAGAGAGCCCAUCCCCCCAUCAGCUGGCUGUCUCCUGUUCCCCUUGCCGACCAGGGGCCUGCUUGCAGGAGCCAGACACAGGGCUGAGGACUCCUGGGGCUACCACCAGGGCCCACCCGGUCACUCAGCUGAGUCACAGCCACCACUGAGGUGAAGGACUCAGGAGAAGCCCAGGGGUAGGCUUGGUAAGGGACCUGAGCAAUGGUCUGGACGAGAGUGGAUGCUGGAGACAGUUGCCUGCGACCCUGCUGCCGGAAGAAGUGGGGUGUCCUCUCCUGAGGGCCACAAGCUACAACUCUGGUCCACCACCAGAGCAGAAACAGAGCCAAGUUGGAGCCCCAGCCUCGUCCACUACAGCCUCAGUGGGAAGGGUUCACAUCCCCUUUGGGUCUGAGAACUCUGGACUGCUCAUCCCAAAAUGGUGGCCAGUCCUCAUCUGGCCACGUCCCAUCCCCAGGAGGAUAGAGGCCUGGAAGGACUGUUCUGGGAGCGAGAGAAGGGGGAAGCUGAGGGGACAGAGCUGCCUCCAUGGGUCCCUAGGUGACCAGAGCCCUUGACCCACCUUCUCCCAACUGCAUGCUCAGGUCUCGUAUCCCUACCUUCGGUAGCCUCUGGGUAACACUCCCUGAGUGUGACUAUCAGGAGGUGUCACCACAGAGGCGACUGAGAACUCCUCACACCAGCCGAGUUGUGCAGUUAGCCGGGGCGCCCAUCAACAGAUGAGGGAAAUGUGAGUCUGUGCAAUGCAGUUUUCUUCAGCCGUCAAGAAUGGAGUUCUGUCAUUUGCAGGGAAAGGGCCAGAACUGGAGAUCGCGUUAAGUGAAACAAGCCAGACUCAGAAAGGCAGACGUCAUCAGUUUCCUCUCCUACAAAGAAUGCAGAAUUUAAAAAGUACGGCACAUACUGCUAGGAGCUGUAGCUCGGUGAUACAGUGCGUGCUCGGCAUGCCUGAGGUCCUGGGUUCGAUCCCUGGGAUGCCAAAGGAAGAGAGGAAGACUUGAACGUACAAGGGGCUCCUUGUGGGUGGAGCUUUGUCGACUGGAGACAGAUUUCACUCCUUCUCCCAGGCUGGUUUGGAAUUCAAAGCCAGCUUCCUGCCUCAGUCUCCAAAGUUCUGGGGUCAUAGGUGUGGGCCACCAUGCUCAGCUGGAAGGAAGAGGCAGAGGAUGGCAAUGGGAGUUAAAUAUGAUCAAAGCACGUUACAAAUGUGUGUGAAAACGGCAUGAUGGCAUCAUUGUUUUGUUCAGUGAAUAUAUGCUAAUAAGAAAGGCAGCUUCCUCCUCUUCUAAGUCUGCCUUUCGGAUGGAGGAUCUAGCCAUAAAUAACCUUUAUGAAGGGAAGGACAGAGAAUACUCUCCUAGACAUUGCUGUUGUAAGUCCAAUACUGCACUAACCUGACAGUCCUUGCGGUGGAAGUCCUCAGAAAGGGUCCAUCUAGAACCUCUUCCAUUUCACAGAAGGGGAAACCGAGGCACAAGGAGCGUACACAGUUCCUGGGAGAUUGCUCAGUGGGUAAGGGUGCUUGCUUGCCGCAUGACCCUAGCAACCUGAGCUCAAUCUCCAGAAACCCACACAAAGGUAGAAGGAGAAGAUCAAGUCCAAAAGUUGUCCCCUGACCUACACACCCAUACAUAUACAUUGUGU